UACGAAGGGGGCUAGCGUUGUUCGGAAUUACUGGGCGUAAAGCGCGUGUAGGCGGGUGUUUAAGUCAGGGGUGAAAUGCCAAGGCUCAACCUUGGAACUGCCUUUGAUACUGGAGAUCUUGAGUCCGGGAGAGGUGAGUGGAACUGCGAGUGUAGAGGUGAAAUUCGUAGAUAUUCGCAAGAACACCAGUGGCGAAGGCGGCUCACUGGCCCGGAACUGACGCUGAGACGCGAAAGCGUGGGGAGCAAACAGG
rnacentral:rRNA from 1 species